rnacentral:rRNA from 1 species
GAUGAACGCUGGCGGCGUGCCUAAUACAUGCAAGUCGAGCGAACGGACGAGAAGCUUGCUUCUCUGAUGUUAGCGGCGGACGGGUGAGUAACACGUGGAUAACCUACCUAUAAGACUGGGAUAACCUCGGGAAACCGGAGCUAAUACCGGAUAAUAUUUUGAACCGCAUGGUUCAAAAGUGAAAGACGGUCUUGCUGUCACUUAUCGAGGGUUCUGCGCUGCAUUAGCUAGUUGGUAAGGUAACGGCUUACCAAGGCAACGAGGCAUAGCCGAGCGGAGAGGGUGAUCGGCCACACUGGAACUGAGACACGGUCCAGACUCCUACGGGAGGCAGCAGUAGCGAAUCUUCCGCAAUGGUCGAGAGCAUGACGGAGCAAGGCCGCGUGAGUGAUGAAGGUCUUCGGAUCGUAAAACUCUGUUAUGAGGGAAGAACAUAUGUGUAAGUAGCUGUGGACAUCUUGACGGUACCGAAUAAGAAAGCCACGGCUAACUACGUG